UGUUCAGGGGUAAACCUGUGGUUCCCGAAAGUUCGAACGGGGAGAUUCAAUUGCCUCGCCGGUUAUGACCAUUUAACAGUGUGUUAUUAACGAGACAUUAUAUGCGUGCGGUUAACGCCGUAGCAGUUAUAUAGUGCUCCGCUGUUUUAUGUUAUUGUUUGUAGCCGGAGGCGUGCACUUCUCCCCUUGUAGGGCGUCAUGACCCAUUGGGCCGUGUAUUUAAAUGUUGUCUAAGGCUCAAAAAGGAGACCGUGGCGUUAAGUUUCGGCUUGUGCGACCCGGACUUUUGAUGUCCCGACAUCUGCCCGAUGGUAUAAUUAUGAUGAUGGGCCGCUAAAUUAUUUAGCGAGCGUUUAGAUCUGUGACAAAUGCUUAUACGAUUAUUUAUUGUGGAAAUCGGAUUAUAUGCCGGUUCUGCACGUAUGGUAUUGUUAGUCAUGGUAUUCUCAAACCGUUCCUUAUCAUCAGUCAAUGGCGUUUAUGUUUUGGGUAAUUACAGGACCCGUCUUGAAACACGGACCAAGGAGUCUAGCAUGUGCGCGAGUCAUUGGGACUCUGUUAAACCUAAAGGCGUAAUGAAAGUGAAAUAUUUAUGAAUUUUUAAUUCAUUGAAUUAAGGGAAGAUGGUUAACGAUAUUUAUGUUAACCCGCAUUCCCGGGGCGUCGCGUACUCAUUGCGAGUUGCGGCGCACCUAGAGCGUACACGCUGGGACCCGAAAGAUGGUGAACUAUGCCUGGUCAGGAUGAAGUCAGGGGAAACCCUGAUGGAGGUCCGUAGCGAUUCUGACGUGCAAAUCGAUCGUAUGAACUGGGUAUAGGGGCGAAAGACUAAUCGAACCAUC
rnacentral:rRNA from 1 species